CGCCUCCGCCGUAGUUCUGCCGCGGUCGCGGUCAAACCGCGACCAAAUAUGCUCUUUGAUUCUCACUUUGUCUGCAGCCAUCUUCUACCGCGGUGGAACGCGAUAGUCCUCUUUCAGUUUUGACUUGAGCUGUUUCGCGUGGUUUACUUGACGGAAUUUUACGAUCAACCUCUUUUUCUUCAUAUUUGAUCCCAAAAGUACUCCAUAGCCUUCUCUGGUCAUAUAUAACCUGCAAGCAUGAAAAACACUAAUAAGAUUAUUUUGUUAUCACUUUUAUCAUCCAAACUAUACAAGAAGGUGGUUAUUUAGGGCCUAAUUAUAGUUAAAUUCACCUAUUAUCAGCACUCCACACUUACACCUUUGCUCGUCCUCGAGCAAGUUAAACCACACUUCUAGGCCUAACUGUUUGAUGCAUUACCUUAUUUUUAUGGCACACCCGCCAUUAUGAAGGAACAACCUAAGCAGUGCGACAGUCACGCCUCAGAUGAAGACUCUAACACCAUGACGCACUCGUGCUCACUCUAGUUACUCUAACAGAGGUGAAAACUCACUUUUUCUUCCUGAGUCACAUACCAUCACAUCAUAAUUCUGAGAGAAGUUCCACACACAUAAAAUUCAAGCAACAAGGAACCAAAGAUAGGAAGAAUUCACUCACUCUCAACAGAGAAUGUUCACAUGCAACAUAGAUACACCAUAAGCUUGCCCCUAGUGUAGUACUCUACUAAUCGAGCUAUUCAGUCAAAGAUCAAGAGGUCUUUAUUUGAUUGUAAUGUAGGCUAAGGGACAUAUAGGAUAUAUUUGGAUAUAGU
rnacentral:lncRNA from 1 species